rnacentral:piRNA from 1 species
UUGUGCCACAAGGUCCUCUGGGCCAUC